UACGUAGGUGGCAAGCGUUGUCCGGAUUUACUGGGCGUAAAAGAGCGCGCAGGCGGUCGUGCAAGUCGCGUGUGAAAGCCCCCGGCUCAACUGGGGAGGGUCACGCGAUACUGCUCACUCGAAGGCAGGAGAGGGAAGUGGAAUUCCCGGUGUAGUGGUGAAAUGCGUAGAUAUCGGGAGGAACACCAGUGGCGAAGGCGACUUCCUGGCCU
rnacentral:rRNA from 1 species